UACAGAGGUGGCAAGCGUUGUUCGGAAUUACUGGGCGUAAAGGGCGCGUAGGCGGCCCUUCUAAGUCAGACGUGAAAUCCCCCGGCUUAACCUGGGAACUGCGUCUGAUACUGGGAGGCUUGAGUAUGGGAGAGGGAUGUAGAAUUCCAGGUGUAGCGGUGAAAUGCGUAGAUAUCUGGAGGAAUACCGGUGGCGAAGGCGGCUCACUGGCCCGAUACUGACGCUGAGGCACGAAAGCGUGGGGAGCAAACAGA
rnacentral:rRNA from 1 species